AUUGAACGCUGGCGGCAGGCCUAACACAUGCAAGUCGAGCGGGGUUUUCGGACCUAGCGGCGGACGGGUGAGUAAUGCGUAGGAAGCUGCCCGAUAGAGGGGGAUACCAGUUGGAAACGACUGUUAAUACCGAAUAAUGUCUACGGACCAAAGUGUGGGACCUUCGGGCCCACUCCAAUCGGAUGCGCCCACGUGGGAUUAGCUAGUUGGUGAGGUAAUGGCUCACCAAGGCGACGAUCUCUAGCUGGUUUGAGAGGAUGAGCAGCCACACUGGAACUGAGACACGGUCCAGACUCCUACGGGAGGCAGCAGUGGGGAAUAUUGGACAAUGGGCGCAAGCCUGAUCCAGCCAUGCCGCGUGUGUGAAGAAGGCCUUCGGGUUGCAAAGCACUUUCAGCGAGGAGGAAGGGUGGUGUGUUAAUAGCACAUCAUUUUGACGUUACUCGCAGAAGAAGCACCGGCUAACUCUGUGCCAGCCGCCGCCGUAAAAC
rnacentral:rRNA from 1 species